GGCAGCCCCCGGCUCACCUGAGCUCCGGGCGGCGGAGAGGGGCCGCGGCCGCCCCGGAGCUCCCCGAGCCCAUCCGGGGGAGCCGGGGAGGAGAGGAGCAGCACCGGCAGCGGCAGAGCUUGCGGGCUCCUCUUGCAUCUCCCAGGCACUGCAGAGGCUGCACAUCCUUUGGGAGGAGGAGCAGGGACAAAACAUGGCUGGAAAACAGCAAAAGCAGGACCCACACAAUCUGUCCCCGCCCAGAGCCAUGCGAGGGAGCAGCCUCCCUGUAACCAUGGAGCACAGCCACGUGUGAGACAUGUUCUGCCUUCAACUCUUCCCCUUCCCUGAUGCUGCAUUUCAGAAGGAACUUUUUAACGUGGUGUUUCCCCUCCAUGCUCUUUGGCAUCAGGAAAGUGUUUUCAAAUCAUUUGCCUCAAAGAAGCUACGUGUUUUUUCCCCGUACCGUGUGGGCAUAGUUACAGUCAGAAGAAUCCACAAAUUUCUCAGUAACUCAUUCUUCCAGCGAGCUCGGAUAACCCUGCUGCUGUUCUCUUCUGCAGCACUCCAGGAGAACUCGCAGCACUUUUAGCUGAUCUACUAAAGGAGAAGAAUCAUUCUGGAGUGAUUUGCUGCUAAAAUGAGGCUUCAACAGAUGACAUGAGCAUCUUGAGAGAAAGCACAGCACAGAACCCUUCUGCUCCAUGGACGUGGGAAAGGCAGGUGCAUUUCAGAGAUGAAAUACACUUAAUUUAAAAAAAACUUCCACCUCAAAGGAACUUUUCUUAAACAAAGUUUCUUGGCACAGCUCUUUCCUUGUAGCUGCAAUUUGACAGUGAACACAUUGUAUGUCCUGAAAAAAAAUACAAUCCCUGUGGCAGAAAGACCAGAGAGGAAAAAUUUCAUCUGGCAGCAUGGGCUGCAUGCCUGAUAUAUGCUGUUUUGGUGAGGAACGGAGCACCAAAGUGCACCUAGAAAGCUACUUGUGAUGUGUUCAAGAUCCAUCCUAAUCAUCACAUUUAAUCAAAAUCAAGCAAAAAGAAAUUGGAAAGGCCUGGAACAAAAUCCUUGGUAAGAAGACUAAACACCAACUGCCCAAACUCAAACACAAUGGGACUAAUUAAGACAGCAGAGCAAAGCCCCACAUUUGAAGGUAACAAACUGAGAGCAUGCGGUAUGGGAAGGUCUGAGAUUUCCAACCCAUCCCAUCUUCCCCCAGGCUCUCAGGAACACCACAACGUACAAACAGUGUUGUGGUAUUUAAUGCCAGAAGGGACAAUGGGAUCAUCCAGCCUGAGCUCCCAUAUUGUUUGGGCCAUAUACCUACAUGUCUGGUCGAGAUGUGUGUUGCUGAAGAUCAUCUAGUUCAGACCUGAAGACCUCUUUAGCAGGACAUGCCACCAUUUCCCAAGGACUUUGUGCUUUAAUUUAACCACCUUCACUGUUAAAAUCUGAGCCUUUGCUCUAGACGAUACAACAACCUGUGUGAAUUUUUCCUUCCCUCCUGAAUCUGAGCUGAGACCGAGCACUAUUGUAAAAUCCUGAUAGAUUCACUCCAGAAGGAAUGCAGAAUUGCUUCGGGCCAAGCUGAACCUGAACAGUGUCGAGGACAGCUGAGCUUAGACUGGAAUUUAUUCAGUCCUUGUUGAAUCCAAACCAGGGAGAAGUCAGAUCGUCCUCUCCCACACCGGGGAGAUGUACGAACUAAGUUUUCUCACCAUUUUUCAGCAUCGUCUGUAAGAGGUGCCCAUCCUAGCUGCGUGCAGAGUGCCAUGGUCUUCUCACACAAGCAGCUGGAGACCGAUUCCCUCCUGGCCCCGCUCCCAGCACCUCCAGGAAUCGCAGCCCUUCCAGCAAAGCUGCCAGCUCACUCUGAGUUCUGUCUCCAUCUGCCCACACUCAGCCUCCUCCCGCCACCUCUUACGAGCUUACUGUGACUGAGAAGGCCUCGCAGGCUCCUGAAGGUCUCCUGCAGGCUGAGAACGACUGCAGAAGAAAGGAUGUUCCUCGCCACGGUAGGCCAGGGCUCAAGCUGCUGCAGAAGAACCACAAGGGAGAGAAAGGGGGAUCAUUUGUAGGGCCUGUAAGCAGCAGAGACAGGACCAGGCAGGAGGCAUCUCAGAAAUGUAGGUGGUGAGUUACCCCCAUGUGCAGCCAGGCGAGCUGGCACCAUGCCCCUGGGUGGAUGCAGCAGUGCCCAAGGGCAGCCAGGACACCAGUUUGCAAUUACUGUCGGUCUGUGAAGCCCACUCAGGGAGUAUUUGCCUAGGGACAGGCAGAAAUCCCAUGUCUCUGAGCCCACCUUGGCACAAUGAGCCUCACAGAGUGACCACAGCUUUCCCAGGAGCCACAUCCCCAUCGGAUCCUCCCUUCCGGCAAAAGGCUGCUUUGGGCCACAGCAGCUUGGAGCUUUCUGCCUCCGUCUCUGAUCUCCAAAACCUCCAGAUGACCCGAGCAGCAGAGAGGGCCACGGUCAAAUCCCCCAAGCCACUGUCAAAUCCACAAAACGGCCCCAAUCCCAAAAGGUCAGCCCGCUGGGUCCUGGUGGUAGGAUGCCCCGAGCCGCCUCCUGCACUGUAACCACAGGACCCACUGGCAGAAGCCACCACGAGUAACGUGGAACCCCACUGCCUCCUUCACAGCUGCUCACGGAUGACUUUCUGCAGCUGCUGGGUGCUGCAGACCCUGACGGCCGUGUGCCCAGGACCAGGAGCCCCAAAGGGCAGAGCAGGCUCUGCUCCAGCCACCCCCAGCGCUGGUUUAGUGCCCAGCAGGGAUCGCUGCUGCGUGGGCUACGAGCUCCAAAAGGCGCGUGUUAAAUCCAGGGGCUGGCUCCUAGGAUCUGUCUGCCCUGAUCUGGCAUCUCCUGGGGAAACCGGGAUGCUCAGGGGGGGUGCAAGGGUCUGCUCCUUUCCUGUCCAGGAGAAGGCAAUGGACUAAAACAGGAAAAAUGAGAGAGAAAUGAACAUCAGCUGCUCAGUCUUACAACAGCUCUUAGAAAAAGAGGAAGCAUGGGGAACCCAGGCAGGUCCCCAUUAAGCUGAUGCCCUGCCACGGUCGAUCCAUGGUCGAUCGACGGGUCCCAGCAAGAUCCCAACAGCCAGUGAAUUCCUGCAUCGUGGAGGGGCCAGGGGACAGAAAAAGGAUGUGUCCUUAUCCCUGGGUCACACGCAGAGGCCAGAGCCAGGUGGGACCCGUGUGGGACCCUCCUGGGGGAGGCAGGCCCUGCUCAGGCCUUGCCAGUGUGAGACAGUCCUGCCUCCCCCUGAAACGCUCGGGGAAAGUUAUAAAUUGCUUUUCCUCUGCUCUUCCCCAACUGGGAUUAUUGACCGUGGUCAGGCCGGUGGCUCAGAGCUUGCUAAUGAAUUGUAAUUGGAACGAAGCUGCACUUUGACACGUUUUAUUUUAUUUAUGUCAGAACUCGCCAUGCGUUAAGCUGGGGGCUCAUUAAAUUAGCGAGGCAGACAGUUCCUGCCAGGAUGGCCUGAGCUAAUGGUGCUGGACAGACUUCAGCUGGGGACUGGCAGCAGGCAUAGGAGAGAUGGGGCCUGCAGAGAGCCCUGGUGCUGCUCAGCCCCCCACCUAGACAGAGGGUCCACGCCUGGCAUGCCAAUACCUCUCUGAGCAAUAAAUUACGAAUUUAUCCUUCUCUGGAGAAUAAAUUACAAAUUUAUCCUUCUCCGGGCAGCCCUGAGCCCUGCAGCUGCUCAGCUAUAUCUGCACCCAGCCUGCUCUCAGUCCCAACCCACCUCCCCAGGGAUGUGCCCCCCUUCUUGCUGUAGGGUGAGCACGUCGCCUGGCACCGCACUGGGCUCCUGCCCUGUCUGAGCCCUCUUCUGUGCCUGGCUAACCACAGAGGAUCUGUUUUGCCUCUCCUUCACCUCCUGCUGGCACUGCAGUGCCCUCUGGCCUCCAGACAGUCUCCAGGUCCAGACAGAACCUGAAUUUAUAAUAAUUGUGAAAGGCAAACAGAACGUAGAAAAAUCGUCCCCCAGCCAGCCUGCUGUCUCCCCGCAUUGGCUUUUGGCCUGCUGCUGCUUUCACUCAGACCUCUCGGGCCGGUCUUCUCUUUCUCUGGAAAGUUCCCCUAUUCCUGUGUCUGCUCCCUUCUACAUUUUUUUUUUUUUGCUCAGCUUUCUGCCAUAUUUAUGGGCAGAAUCCCAUGGCUUACCUUCAGGAGGGUGUGAGUAGGAAGUCAGAUGGCUCUUCCUUGACGUUGUUAUGGUGUUGUGUUAUGUUAGCAGACGUUGAUCGUGAUAAAAUGAUUUGUGUGGAACAGAGACAGUGCUGCUUGGGUGGGCUGAGUCCGUCCUGCACCCCUAAGGACAGCAGUCCAGUCCCUCGCCCCCUGCUCUCCCGGCAGGACCCCCAGUGUUGCCUUGCAGGUCCCUCCGUCCCAAUCCUGGCGUUCCCCAUCACACCCAUGGUGUUCCACAUGGUUACAGCUCUGUAGUUGCCACCAUCUGCUCAGGACCAGCUGGAAAAUGCCAAAUUUCUGUCCCUACCU